UUCUGGGUUUCCUGUUUGCUGCUGCUACAAGGCCAAAAUAAAGAGUCCUCGCUGAUUGCAGAGGGAAUCUUACAUGAUUGUGCUCAGACAAAGAAGCUGCCUGUUGGAUACUGCUGGAGGGCAAAGGCACUGCCGGGCUUCUGGCAGACGCCUGUCACCGCGCUGUUCAGAGCUCCGCCGAUUGAUUAUGAUUUUGGUGUUGGUUUGAGUUUGUCUCCCGGCGUCACCGACUCCGCGAAGCUGUCACCGGCGGCGAGGAGCUCCAGCCUUGAGCGCCAGCAGAGUGAGUCCCCGCAGGAAGAGGACGGGGACGACAGGAAAUAAUAGAGACAAUUGUUUUUCAUGAGCCGAGACGGAGAGGAGACACAAUCAAACGGGACGGAGACGAAUCGGCUCAUUAGUAAAAACCGAGGCGUCUUGUGAAGCUGGUUUGUCUACGGUCGAACCAGGUAAAAAGUGAACCUUGUCAAGGUUCC